rnacentral:lncRNA from 1 species
ACCACAGAUCCCAUGUCCAAACUAAUGUGCAACCUUUAAUAAUUAAAUUUCGUUCCAAAGUAAACUAGUACAUAUUUUAUAAACAAAAACUAGUACAUAAAUAUAUCCCAUUAUACAUUCUGUUUUUAGGUAUAAAUGCUCCUGUCUAAAUCCUAAAUUAGACCUAUAGACAACACAUGAGACCAGCAUAAUUUUUAUCUUGCUAUACUGCAACUGAUAAAUCCCAAAGUCC